CCAAAAAUCUAGCCUCCCUCCCCCUUUUUCUCCUUCCAAAAUAAAUUAAAAUAUUUUAACAGUUUAGUAAAGAAGAUUAAAAAACUUUUAAGAGCCAUAAACCCGUACCGCAAGGGAAAGAUGAAAUAGAAAAAUGAAACAAUCUUAAGCACAAAAAAGUAGAGAUUUACUCUCGUACCUUUUGCAUCAUGGUUUAGCUAGUCUAACUAGGCAAAAAGAUCUUAAGUCUAGCCCCCCGAAACUAAGUGAGCUAAUUUAGGGCCGCUUAACGAGCUAACCCGUCUAUGUUGCAAAAUGGUGGGAAGACCCUAAAAUAGAGGUGAUACACCUAACGAACUUAGUAAUAGCUGGUUUCUCAGGAAAAGAAUUUUAGUCCAACCUAAAGCAGCCUUAAUUUUAACAAAUUUUUCCCCACUUUAGAGCAAUUCAAAUGAGGUACAGCCCACUUGAUACAGGAUACAACCUUCACUAACGGGUAACAUUUAAUCUACACCCUCAAGUAGGCCUAAAAGCAGCCAUCUUUCAAAAAGCGUCGAAGCUUAACUGUGUGUACAUUAAUUUUAAAACCCCCAUUGACCCCUUUUGUAGUAUUGAGAACUUCUAUAAAACUAUAGAACCUGUUUAUGCUAAAACGAGUAACAAGGAGAUAAACCUCUCUCCCAAUGCAAACAUAAACCAGCAAGAACCCAUCACUGGCAACUAACAGACCUAACCAAAAGUAGUAACCUUACCAGAAAACUCUACUCCUCCCCCCCCCCCCUGUUAACCUAACACAAGAGCAUUUCAAGAAAGAUUAAAAGAAAAAGAAGGAACUCGGCAAACACUAGUCUCGCCUGUUUACCAAAAACAUCGCCUCUUGCUCCCUAUAAGAGGUCCAGCCUGCCCAGUGACUCUGUUCAACGGCCGCGGUAUCCUAACCGUGCAAAGGUAGCGUAAUCACUUGUCUUUUAAAUAAAGACCAGUAUGAAAGGCAUCACGAGGAUUAAACUGUCUCCUCUUUCUAAUCAGUUAACCUAAUCUCCCCGUGAAGAAGCGGGGAUCCCCCUAUAAGACGAGAAGACCCUAUGGAGCUUAAAACAUUACACACCUGCCACUCACUUUUCAACUACUCAGGUAACUACCCCAACGGCACCCUGAUUAAAUGUUUUUGGUUGGGGUGACCGCGGAGAAAAACCCAUCCUCCGCAAUGAAAGGGGCUACCCCCCUAAACAAUAAGCUACAACUUUAAGUAUCAACAGAUUGACAUUCAUUGACCCAAUAAAUUGAUUAACGAACCAAGUUACCCUAGGGAUAACAGCGCAAUCCACUUUGAGAGCUCCUAUCGACAAGUGGGCUUACGACCUCGAUGUUGGAUCGGGAUGUCCUGGUGGUGCAGCCGCUACUAAGGGUUCGUUUGUUCAACGAUUAAAACCCCACGUGAUCUGAGUUCAGACCGGAGCAAUCCAGGUCAGUUUCUAUCUAUAAAGAGCUCUUUUCAGUACGAAAGGACCAAAAUAGCAUGGCCAAUGCCCCCGCAAGCCAUAAUUAACUAUUUAAGACCCCCACUCAAAAAAUUAUUAAUCUUCCACCACCUU
rnacentral:rRNA from 1 species